AGUUUAAGGGAUCACCCCUGAGAGACAAUCCCCUAUUGUUGACAUUGAGUAGCAAGGUCCUUUCCUUCUCCAUAUUCUAGAGAGGCC